GGCCCGGCGUCUGGCGCCUGGGGUAUGCAGGCGGCCGUCGUGAGCUCGGGAUCUUCUCACCUCUUGCUCAGCCCCGGGGUACGCCGCGCUACGCUGGUUGAGAGCCGGUGUAGGCGCUUUUCACUACGGGGAAGCCGGUCCUCCCAUCCUCCGGCUCCCUCUGUCGGCCGAGGGAGGGACGAGGCCCCUGCGUCACGAACGAGCUCCAGUUCAAAGCCCCCCUUUCAGCCCUGCAGUCCCCAGACUCUUUCCUGGUCUCCAGCGACCCCGCUGCAGCCCCACUUGAGGAACCUUUGGCCUCGAGCUGGUGGGCUGCAGUGGUGAAGGACUUUCCAAGCAUACAGAGCGUUCCGAAUUCAAUCCCUACCUCCUUCUCCCAGAACAGUCAAAUACCUUCUCCCAAAACAAUCAACAAAAUAAAAACAAAAAUCCAA